GAUGAACGCUGGCGGCGUGCCUAAUACAUGCAAGUCGAGCGCAGGAAGCCGUCUGAACCCUUCGGGGGGACGACGGUGGAAUGAGCGGCGGACGGGUGAGUAACACGUAAAGAACCUGCCCAUAGGUCUGGGAUAACCACGAGAAAUCGGGGCUAAUACCGGAUGUGUCAUCGGACCGCAUGGUCCGAUGAUGAAAGGCGCUCCGGCGUCGCCCAUGGAUGGCUUUGCGGUGCAUUAGCUAGUUGGUGAGGUAACGGCCCACCAAGGCGACGAUGCAUAGCCGACCUGAGAGGGUGAUCGGCCACACUGGGACUGAGACACGGCCCAGACUCCUACGGGAGGCAGCAGUAGGGAAUCUUCCACAAUGGACGAAAGUCUGAUGGGGCAACGCCGCGUGAACGAUGAAGGCUUUCGGGUCGUAAAGUUCUGUUGUAAGGGAAGAACAAGUGCCGCAGGCAAUGGCGGCACCUUGACGGUACCUUGCGAGAAAGCCACGGCUAACUACGUGCCAGCCGCCGCCGUAA
rnacentral:rRNA from 1 species